UACAGAGACUGCAAGCGUUAUUCGGAUUCACUGGGCGUAAAGGGUGCGCAGGCGGCCAAGUGUGUCAGGUGUGAAAUCCCGGGGCUUAACUCCGGAACUGCGCCUGAAACUACUUGGCUAGAGCAUUGGAGAGGGAAGUGGAAUUCACGGUGUAGCAGUGAAAUGCGUAGAGAUCGGGUGGAACACCAGUGGCGAAGGCGGCAUCCUGGCCCUGACCUGACGCUGAGGCGCGAGAGCGUGGGGAGCAAACGGG
rnacentral:rRNA from 1 species